AGUCUGCCAGCCGACGAAGAGAAUUUGCGACGAAGUUCAGGCAGCUUCUGAUUUCAGCUAGCCAAGUUAGUAAUUAAGACUGCUCCUGAAAACUCCCAGAAUGCUGCUGUACAGCAGGAGACCAAAUGAUGUGCAGUGACUGGAGAGCCAGGUCCUGAAUUGCUACUGAAAACUUGCUACAAAUGUGUUUAACUAUAAGACUGUACACUGAAAAAGGAUACCUGUCAGAGUCACCCAUGAUGUGUACUUAACUGAAGAAAAAAAAAGUUCUGAUAAUAAAGAAACUGAGGAGUGUG